AAUUCGAUUAGGAAUAAGCGUCGGCUAACUCCGUGCCAGCAGCCGCGGUAAUACGGAGGAUGCAAGCGUUAUCCGGAAUGAUUGGGCGUAAAGCGUCCGCAGGUGGCUAUGUAAGUCUGCUGUUAAAUAGUGAGGCUCAACCUCAUAAAGGCAGUGGAAACUACAUGGCUAGAGUGCGUUCGGGGCAGAGGGAAUUCCUGGUGUAGCGGUGAAAUGCGUAGAGAUCAGGAAGAACACCGGUGGCGAAAGCGCUCUGCUAGGCCGCAACUGACACUGAGGGACGAAAGCUAGGGGAGCGAAUGGGAUUAGAUACCCCAGUAGUCCUAGCCGUAAACGAUGGAUACUAGGCGUGGCUUGUAUCGACCCGAGCCGUGCCGUAGCUAACGCGUUAAGUAUCCCGCCUGGGGAGUACGCAGGCAACUGUGAAACUCAAAGGAAUUGACGGAAUCACUA
rnacentral:rRNA from 1 species